rnacentral:rRNA from 1 species
UGGGGAAUUUUCCGCAAUGGGCGAAAGCCUGACGGAGCAAUACAGCGUGAGGGAGGAAGGCUUUUGGGUUGUAAACCUCUUUUCUCAAGGAAGAAGAUCUGACGGUACUUGAGGAAUCAGCAUCGGCUAACUCCGUGCCAGCAGCCGCCGUAAUACGGAGGAUGCAAGCGUUAUCCGGAAUGAUUGGGCGUAAAGCGUCUGCAGGUGGCUAUGCAAGUCUGCUGUUAAAGAGUGGAGCUCAACUCCAUAAGGGCAGUGGAAACUGCGUAACUAGAGUACGUUCGGGGUAGAGUGAAUUCCUGGUGUAGCGGUGAAAUGCGUAGAUAUCCGGAGGAACACCGGUGGCGAAGGCGGCCACCUGGACAGGUACUGACGCUGAGGUGCGAAAGCGUGGGGAGCAAACAGGAUUAGAUACCCCGGUAGUCC